UACGUAGGCAGCGAGCGUUGUUCGGAGUUACUGGGCGUACAGGGAGCGUAGGCGGUUGGAUAAGCCCUCCGUGAAAUCUCCAGGCUUAACCUGGAAAGUGCAGAGGGGACUGUUCAGCUAGAGGAUGGGAGAGGAGCGCGGAAUUCCCGGUGUAGCGGUGAAAUGCGUAGAGAUCGGGAGGAAGGCCGGUGGCGAAGGCGGCGCUCUGGAACAUUUCUGACGCUGAGGCUCGAAAGCGUGGGGAGCAAACAGG
rnacentral:rRNA from 1 species